GUGUUCACUUCAGCAGCACAUAUGCUAAAAUCGGAAUGAUACAGAGAAGAUCAGCAUGACCCCUAUGCAAGGAGGUUGUGCAAAUUCACGAAGUGUUUCAUAUUUUU
ensembl:snRNA U6 U6 spliceosomal RNA